GAUGAACGCUGGCGGCGUGCUUAACACAUGCAAGUCGAACGGAAAGGCCCAAGCUUGCUUGGGUACUCGAGUGGCGAACGGGUGAGUAACACGUGGGUGAUCUGCCCUGCACUUCGGGAUAAGCCUGGGAAACUGGGUCUAAUACCGGAUAGGACCACUUCUUGGUUGUUGUGGUGGAAAGUUUUUUCGGUGUGGGAUGAGCUCGCGGCCUAUCAGCUUGUUGGUGGGGUAAUGGCCUACCAAGGCGUCGACGGGUAGCCGGCCUGAGAGGGUGUACAGCCACAUUGGGACUGAGAUACGGCCCAGACGCCUACGGGAGGCAGCAGUGGGGAAUAUUGCACAAUGGGCGCAAGCCGGAUGCAGCGACGCCGCGUGGGGGAGGACGGCCUUCGGGUUGUAAACUCCUUUCGCGAGGGACGAAGCGUUUUGUGACGGUACCUGGAGAAGAAGCACCGGCUAACUACGUG
rnacentral:rRNA from 1 species